ACGGGAGGCAGCAGUAAGGAAUCUUGCACAAUGGGGGAAACCCUGAUGCAGCAACGCCGCGUGAUUGAUGAAGGCCUUCGGGUUGUAAAAAUCUGAUCUAAGGGAAGAAACAAAUGACGGUACCUUAGGAGAAAGCCCCGGCUAACUACGUGCCAGCAGCCGCGGUAAUACGUAGGGGGCAAGCGUUAUCCGGAAUUACUGGGUGUAAAGGGAGUGUAGGCGGGACUGUAAGUCAGAUGUGAAAUAUGCCGGCUCAACUGGCAGACUGCAUUUGAAACUGCGGUUCUUGAGUGAAGUAGAGGUAAGCGGAAUUCCUAGUGUAGCGGUGAAAUGCGUAGAUAUUAGGAGGAACAUCAGUGGCGAAGGCGGCUUACUGGGCUUUAACUGACGCUGAGGCUCGAAAGCGUGGGGAGCAAACAGGAUUAGAUACCCUGGUA
rnacentral:rRNA from 1 species